rnacentral:rRNA from 1 species
CCUACGGGAGGCUGCAGUGGGGAAUAUUGGGCAAUGGAGGCAACUCUGACCCAGCAACGCCGCGUGAAUGAUGAAGGUCUUCGGAUUGUAAAGUUCUUUUCUAAGGGAAGAAGAAAGUGACGGUACCUUAGGAAUAAGCCUCGGCUAACUACGUGCCAGCAGCCGCGGUAAUACGUAGGAGGCAAGCGUUAUCCGGAAUGACUGGGUUUAAAGGGUGCGCAGGCGGAAGAUCAAGUCAACGGUAAAAUUGAGGGGCUCAACCUCGUCGAGCCGUUGAAACUGGUUUUCUUGAGUGAGCGAGAAGUAUGCGGAAUGCGUGGUGUAGCGGUGAAAUGCAUAGAUAUCACGCAGAACUCCGAUUGCGAAGGCAGCAUACCGGCGCGCAACUGACGCUCAUGCACGAAAGUGUGGGUAUCGAACAGGAUUAGAUACCCCAGUAGUC